ACCCCAGGACGCCCCACGUCCGGUUCGAGGAGCACCGGGGUUCCCGGGGCAGUGGGAAGAAGACAACGGCAAAGCAAAGGAAGGGAACACUUUUUUCUGGCGGGAAACUGGUAAUCCAGGCAGAGCAGGUGCACUCGGGGGAGGCCCCCAAAGCCCAUCCCUCUCGCUGAUUCCAUCCCUCUCCCCCCCCCCCCCAAGGGACCCGAUCUCGGUCCCCGACACGCCAGCCGACAGAGCGGCCGCAGAACGUGGCCCGGGGCGACCCCUGGCGGGCGGGGGAGCAGAGCUCGGACCCCCGAGGCGAGCAGAGCCCGGCAGGAGGCGCGGCCGGGAACGCCGGUCGGAGGAAGGGCCUCCGCACACCUCGGAGAGGCAGCCGGUCGCGUCCCCGGCGGUUCCAUGGUGUAAUGGUGAGCACUCUGGACUCUGAAUCCAGCGAUCCGAGUUCAAGUCUCGGUGGAACCUGUCCCUUUGGGCCGAGCCGCGGCCACCUUUUACUCUCCGCUCCAAGGCCCCGCGAGGAGGAGCACGAGCCUUCCCGCUCCCGCUGCCCUCGGGCCGGGGAGGGAAACUCCGGGGACCACGCGCGCCGCUCCCACUCCCGCUCCCGCUCCCGCCGCCGCGUCCCCCGCGCUCCGCCGCCGCUUCCGGACUCGGGGACCCGCGAGCCCGGUUCCCGGAGCGGCGCGCCCCGCACGAGCAUUGCAGCCACGGCGAGGAGACCCGGCCAGCGCCGCCCCUCGUCGGGCUCACCCUCGGGCCUCGGGGUGAAAGCCACCGGCCGCGGCCACUGAAUCCUGCACCGCGAAGCACGUCGCGCGGCGCGUCCCGUACUGGCACCGAUCGGCCUGCACUCGUAGAGGGCAACUUACGUGCGAAACGGCGUGUCUUACCUCAGCCGGGCGGUGGGGACACUGAAGUUUCGGGUCGUGGGUUCUAGCAGAAGGUCGGGUGCCAUUUCAUUUCAGUUUCCGCGGCUCCUUUCCUACCACCUACCAGAGGAGUCCAGAGUCUCUGCUGAGGCCAGGGGGGGUCGCAGUUGUCCUGAAAUAUGUGCUUCAGUCCGUGGCCCUCGUGCGGAAACCCUCAACUCUGCCCAAAAGGGAGAUUCUGGCGGGGGAUUCUUGGUGCCUGACCCGCCGCCUCCCACGGGGCUCCUGUGCGGGACAAAAGUGACAGGAGCCGGACCAGCUCCGAGUUCUGCCCCUCCGUCCUGCUGCGACUCUGCUCCACGGACUGAAGGCGCCUUAGGAUGAUACCGGAUGGAAACACGCUCGUUCUCCUCUACUCGGUAGAAAAAAUCUGGGAUUUCUGAAGGACGUCAUAGUUAGUGAAAGUGGCACAGAAGCCUGAGGGCGCAGGCACAUUGAGGCCCGGAGUCGUGUGGCCAGUUAAAUGUGGGUAUACUGACAUGGAGCUCCGAAUGAGUGCAGUACUCCGACGGUCGAACAACAGGCCCCCAGGUGACAACCGCAGCCUCUCGGUCUGACGUCAUCCAUUUUCCAGUUCUUUGCUCCACUUCACCUGUCCACGAAUCGCCCCGGAUCCUGACCGCCUGACCGGCGGGCGCGCUCGCGAAGCACCAGAAUCGGCGGUGCCUCCACCGCGCUGCGCACCCCCUGCCCCCCCCCCCCGGGAUGCCCCUGAUGUAGACUCCAUGGGGCAGGGACCUUGGGUUUGCUCACGGUGCAGUCCCUCGCUUACAACAUUGCCUGGCACUUAGUAGGAGCCCAAUAAAUGCUCGGUGAAGGAGCCCAUUCCGCCGCAGGGGCCUGGAGGGGACACGAAAGGCACCAAGAAUUUCACCUUGCACUGUCAGUUUUAGUUUUGGAGAAUACCCCGAAUGGGAAGACGUAAAGGGCAGCCAUUCUUUAAAAUCUUUAUACACGAAGCUGUUUUAGAACCAGGUCAAGGUCCCGAUCGUGGAAACGUCUAGAGGACACAACCUAGAAUGUCACUGAGUUCCCCACCCUGGAAGGUGUGGCGGCCUCAGCCUAGGGGACGCCGGUGGGCGCAGGGAGAAAGGUGAACGAGGAAAGCUGAAGAGAAGAAAGCGGGUGGCAGUCUGGAGAGCAAGGAAGAAAGGGCAAAGGGAGGACAGGAGUGAAAAGAAAGCUGAGAGGCACCAACACUAGGGGCUGAAAGAAAAACCAGUUAGAAAACGUUGCGGCUAUUGAGGUCAAUUAAUAGCCCUCAACCACAGCACACCCAGUCGGUGGCGUGCGGUGAUGGUUAGUGGUUAGUACUCCGCGAUGCGACCCUAGUAACCUUGGCUUGAAUCCGAGUUGUGACGUUGUCUAACUCGCUAUUUUCCUCUUUAAACAAACCCCCAGUAAAGCCGGAGAUAUAGUGCGAUUUCCCGCUUUGAAACUGGUGACCGCCGGCAGUUAGAUCGGGCUCUCGAGGUCCCCCGAGGCGGUGCUCCCAGCCUGAGCCCUCCACCCGCCUAACCUGAGGUAACGCCGCAGGUCGCUGCGAGCCAAAGUCUGCAGCGCCCAUAUUCCGCACCCCUAUCCCGGCUCCCGCCCUCGCCCCCCAAGGGGCAAGGCAAAGACUGCAAAAGGGCCUGACGGGCUGUGAGAAAGGAAAGAGCGUGCAUCUGGAACCACUAACUUUAAUUUAUGCGUCAGACUCUGAAGAAAAGCAUCCAGCAUGGUUGGGAAACGAAUUCUUAGGAGAAGUUUAGGCAACCGACCUACCAUUAAGUAGAAGACAUCCCAGCUUUUCAUCAUCUAGUUUGUUCAGUCCGUAAUGUAUGGUUUCCGAUGUCUCAAUUAUCAUACAGUGAAACUGACUUUUUCUUUUGGUACAAAUUCUCCAUAAUUAGAAUACAUAAGUUUCAUCUCACCAAAAAUCUUAGUGCUAUCUUGUUACAGUGUUACAAUCACAUCUCCCCCUCAAACAUAAGCCCUUGGGAUCACUGAUCUGUUCAUCACUAUAGUUCUGUCUUUUUGAGAAUGUCUUAAGAAUGGAAGUAUAUAGUAUGUAGCCGUUUGAGACUGGCUUCUUUUACUCAGCACAGUGACUUAGGGAUUUCUUUAAGUUGUUGUAUACAUCAAGAAUUCCUUAUCAUUGGGUAUUCCUUCCAGUGGGUGAACCACUGUUUUGUCUAUCAAUUAAUCCCUUGAAAGAUAUUCGAUGAUUGUACUUUCAGCUCUUACAAAUAAAGCCUAUGAGAAUUCCUGUA